rnacentral:rRNA from 1 species
AUGCACAUUGAUGUGAUAAUUGAGGAAGAUGAUGGUUACAAGUGGAGACUCACGGGCAUCUAUGGCGAGCCACGAACUGAACACAGAGAGGAGACAUGGUGUUUGCUCCGGACUCUUCACCAACAAGAAAGGUUCCCAUGGGUGUGCAUGGGAGACUUCAAUGAAAUCCUCUACAAUUUUGAGAAGCAGGGUGGAGUGCCUCGUGCACAAAUUCUGAUGGACAGAUUUCGUGAUGCUUUAAACUUUUGUAAUUUGAAUGACCUCGGUUUUGAGGGUGAUGUUUUUACUUGGCGUAAUAAUAAC